CAGGUCAGAGAAGACUACCCGCUGGACUUAAGCAUAUCACUAAGCGGAGGAAAAGAAACUAACUAGGAUUCCCCCAGUAACUGCGAGUGAAGAGGGAAGAGCUCAUCAUUGGAAUCUGGCAGUGUUACACUGUCCGAGUUGUAGAUGAGGAGUAGUCCGUCUGGACUGCAUGGCGUCCAAGUACAAUAGGCCGUCAGUGGGACAUCAUAGAGGGUGACAAUCCCGUCCUUGACGCCAAUGUGCAAGUCUAUUACGAUGGCUAUCUCAGAGAGUCGAGCAGUUUGGGAUUUGCUGCUUAAACAUGGGAGGUAGAUUCCUUCUAAAGCUAAAUACAGGCGAGAGACCGAUAGAGAACAAGUACCGCAAGGGAAAGAUGAAAUAGCACUCUGUGAAGGGAGUCAAAAGGCGUGAAAUUGUUGCGAGAGAAGCGAUUCAAGUCAGCGUAGCUAGGCCCAUCAAGCGUCUUCGCUUUGGACUAGCUUUGCCAGCGGUCUUGUCCCUUAAAGAGACUUGACUUGUAAUAUGUCCAGCCUGGCGUGCACAGGCAGCCCCUUCUGGGGGCCAGUGGCAUGGCUGGUGGAAUGGCUUGCAAUCGACCCGUCUUGAAACACGGACCAAGGAGUCUAACAUGUAUGCGAGUAUAAGGGUGGCAAACCCGUAUGCGCAAUGAAAGUGAUUUUCGGUGAUUGAGAAUGGCCUGAUGACCAGACAAGCAAUAUAUGUCCCUCGUACGGCCAUUGCCCAAGUUCCGUGGUAGAUCCCACGAACAUGGAGUUGGAGCAUACAUGCUAGGACCCGAAAGAUGGUGAACUAUGCCUGGACAAAGCGAAGCCAAAGGAAACUCUGGUGGAGGCUUGUAGCGAUUCUGACGUGCAAAUCGAUCGUCUGAUCUGGGUAUAGGGGCGAAAGACUAAUCGAACCAUCUCAUAGCUGGUUCCUGCCGAAGUUUCCCUCAGGAUAGCCGAAGUUUCCCUCAGGAUAGCCGAAGUUUCCCUCAGGAUAGCCGAAGUUUCCCUCAGGAUAGCCGAAGUUUCCCUCAGGAUAGCCGAAGUUUCCCUCAGGAUAGCCGAAGUUUCCCUCA
rnacentral:rRNA from 1 species